GGGAGGCCACCACCACCACGGUCCACCACCUCCUCCAGGACCACCCCCACAACAGGAGCAGCCUCCCCAGUAAUCUAGGCUUCAAUGACAGGAAAUGAGUAAGAAGAUAACAGUGUUUCAAAUGCCAUGAAACACAAUAUGGUCAUGCUCUAAGUUCAAUAUACCAAUAAAAUAAUCAGCUUGCAAUU